GCCAGCAUGGCAUAGUGGUUUGAGCGCUGGACUGUGACUGGAGAUCAGGGUUCAAAUCCCCUCUUGGCC